rnacentral:rRNA from 1 species
ACCUGGAGAUAGCUGGUUCUCCCCGAAAUAGUUUUAGGACUAGCCUCUUGUGAUAGAGUGACGGAGGUAGAGCACUGGAUAGGCUAGGGGGCUUCACCGCUUACCAACCCUAACCAAACUCCGAAUGCCGUUCACUUGUUUCAAGGGAGUCAGCGUGCGAGGGAUAAGCUUCGUACGCGAGAGGGAAACAACCCAGAUCGCCAGCUAAGGCCCCCAAGUGUGAACUAAGUGAUAAAGGAUGUGGGAGCGCGCAGACAGCUAGGAUGUUGGCUUAGAAGCAGCCAUUCAUUUAAAGAGUGCGUAACAGCUCACUAGUCAAGUGAAUCCGCGCCGAUAAUGAUCGGGACUAAGUUCACCGCCGAAGCUGCGGGAUUCAGCCUUCGGGCUGGAUCGGUAGGGGAGCAUUCUAUUUUAGGCUGAAGGUGGACCGUAAGGUCUGCUGGACGACAUAGAAGAGACCAUGCCGGCACGAGUAGCGACAAAACAGGUGAGAAUCCUGUUCACCGAAAAUCUAAGGUUUCCUGGGGAAGGUUCGUCCGCCCAGGGUUAGUCGGAUCCUAAGCCGAGGCCGAAAGGCGUAGGCGAUGGCAAACAGGUUAAAAUUCCUGUACCACCUUAGCGACGUUCGAGCUAUGGGGUGACGCAGAAGUGAAGGUCAGCCCGCGACUGGAAAUGCGGGUCCAAGCCUGUAGGGGGAUUUCCCAGGCAAAUCCGGGAAGUCAUAACCCUGAGGGGUGAUGGGGGAACGAGCCUUCGGGCAAGCCAACUGACCUUAAUCAUGCUGCCAAGAAAAACCUCUAUGCGAGUUUCUUUGGUGUCCGUACCGCAAACCGACACAGGUAGAUGAGGAGAGAAUCCUAAGGUGCGCGAGAGAACCCUUGUUAAGGAAUUAGGCAAACUGGCUCCGUAACUUCGGGAGAAGGAGCGCCUCCAAGUAGGUGACCAGACUUGCUCUGGAAGCUGAAGGGGGUCGCAGUGAAAAGGCCCGGGCGACUGUUUACUAAAAACACAGGCCUCUGCUAAGUCGCAAGACGACGUAUAGGGGCUGACACCUGCCCGGUGAUGGUAGAUUAAGAGGAGGGGUUAGCCUUCGGGCGAAGCUCUGAAUCGAAGUCCCAUUAAACGGCGGCCGUAACUAUAACGGUCCUAAGGUAGCGAAAUUCCUCGUCGGAUAAAAACCGACCUGCACGAAUGGUGUAACGGCUUGGGCGCUGUCUCAACAGGGGACUCGGCGAAACUGUAGCUCCGGUGAAGAUGCCGGAUACCCGCAGCGGGACGGAAAGACCCCGUGAACCUUUACUCUAGCUUGGCACUGGGUUUUGGCACAGUCUGUGUAGGAUAGGUGGGAGGCUUUGAAGCGGAGGCGCCAGCCUUCGUGGAGCCGACCUUGAAAUACCACCCUUACUCUGUUGAAAUUCUAACCUGGGCCCUUGAAUCAGGGUCGGAGACAAUGCCUGGUGGGAAGUUUGGCUGGGGCGGUCGCCUCCUAAAAUGUAACGGAGGCGUUCAAAGGUUCCCUCAGCGCGGUCGGUAAUCGCGCGUAGAGUGCAAAGGCAUAAGGGAGCUUGACUGCGAGACCUACAAGUCGAGCAGGUGCGAAAGCAGGACUUAGUGAUCCGACGGUGGCGUGUGGAAGCGCCGAAGCUCAACGGAUAAAAGGUACUCCGGGGAUAACAGGCUCAUCUCCCCCAAGCGUCCAUAGCGACGGGGGGGUUUGGCACCUCGAUGUCGGCUCAUCACAUCCUGGGGCUGGACAAGGUCCCAAGGGUUUGGCUGUUCGCCAAUUAAAGUGGUACGUGAGC